rnacentral:lncRNA from 1 species
AUUUUUAGACAGUGCCUAGAGAAUUGGACCGUUUUCCGGUUAUCAUAAAACAAUUUUUAGACACUUGGCUGACUUCGAACAAAAGUUAAUUAACCGGGUGAUUGGAGGCGGGCUGCAGGAAGAGAGUUCAGUUUCUUAGACCAUUAUUAUGAGGUGAGAAUUGCAGGCUGUCUGGAAGCUCUUCUACAGGAUUGUGGAAGGAUUUCAUUCGCAGAGGAUGCAGAAAAGUUAUUCUUGUUGACGUCUCUGGAACCUUUUCUACGGUGACGUCUUUUACAUAGUUCACUACGGGAAACAAUAAAAAAACCGAGUGUUUUUACUUUACCGAGUGCAAUCCAUCGAACUCGGCAAAAAAGAUGUUUGCCGAGUGUCACCAUGUAAACACUCGGCAUACAAACUACACUCGGCAUUUUUACUUUUUGCCGAGUGUCAGAGAGAAAACACUCGGCAAAAAUCAACACGAUACUCGGCAAAUAGUUAGCACUCGGCAACACUCUAGCACAUUACUGGCACGUGCGACGUCCAUCAGAUGGCGUGCCGGCCAUCAGAACUUUGUCGAGUGUCCUUCUUUAAACACUCGGCAAAAUAAUAAUUUUUUCCCUCUCCUGCCCUCCAAACUUUUUCUACUCUCCACAUACAACAUGUGGUACUACAUGUUAAAAUUUCGUAUAUUUGUCGAUCAGUUUACUAUAUUUAAUUAAUUUAUUGCAUAUAUUAGAAUUUUUUGGUUUAAGGCAAAUUUGAACUGCAAGUGAUUCAAAUAAUGCAAUAAGUUGAGUGGAAAAAUCUUAUUUAUGUUAUUGAGUCCAUUUUGGGGCCUUACCCAGGAAAUAAAAAGAAAUUUCAAACAUCCUUUUCAGAAAACACGACCACGAACGUGUGGCCCAAUGGUUUUUAAAUUCUAAAAAAACAAACGAAUUCUGAAAAACACGAGAUUAAUCUUUGAUAUUACAAAAUGUGAGCUAGCUUCCAUGCAAAUUUAUAUAGUUACCUAAAAGAAAAAAAUUAAUAAUAAACAUUGAAAGUGAAAAUUUGUCUAAUUCCUUUUUAAACAACGUAUAGACGCAUACACUUGUACAUACGCAUGCUGACUCACCUAUGUGAACGAGAGCCCACACAUCUACACCCC